AGUGAACGCUGGCGGUAGGCCUAACACAUGCAAGUCGAACGGCAGCACAGUAAGAGCUUGCUCUUACGGGUGGCGAGUGGCGGACGGGUGAGGAAUACAUCGGAAUCUACUUUUUCGUGGGGGAUAACGUAGGGAAACUUACGCUAAUACCGCAUACGACCAACGGGUGAAAGCAGGGGAUCUUCGGAACUUGCGCGAUUCAAUGAGCCGAUGUCGGAUUAGCUAGUUGGCGGGGUAAAGGCCCACCAAGGCGACGAUCCGUAGCUGGUCUGAGAGGAUGAUCAGCCACACUGGAACUGAGACACGGUCCAGACUCCUACGGGAGGCAGCAGUGGGGAAUAUUGGACAAUGGGCGGAAGCCUGAUCCAGCCAUACCGCGUGGGUGAAGAAGGCCUUCGGGUUGUAAAGCCCUUUUGUUGGGAAAGAAAAGCAGCAGGUUAAUACCCCGCUGUUCUGACGGUACCCAAAGAAUAAGCACCGGCUAACUUCGUG
rnacentral:rRNA from 1 species